UUGUGGUCUAAAUUAUUGUGUCUAACAUUAAUACAUCUGUACAUAAUGGGUGUUUCUCAUUUUUAGUUGGCAGCACUUAAUGAUGCCAAAAUUAUUUUUGAUAAACAAAUCUGGAUUUAUUUUUGGCCAGGAAGAGACAACAAGGAAUGUCGCGAAAAAUAAUUUUUGACGCUCACAUUCAUGAUUACCAAUUGAGAACUCUUCUACUUUUUCAAAAUAUAUUCUAGAGCAGACUAUUGAAUUAAUAUAAUUAUAGAUAGAUUAUAAUAAUAGGACUAGUCACUAGAUUAUGAUUAUCACUAGCACUAGAUUCUAGAUCUACUACUCAGAUCUAGACUCUAGAGUGACUCUAGACCUAGUCUACUCUAGUAGUAGUCUCUAGUAUCAUCAAGUACUAGUAGAUCGUCUAGAAAACAUAUAUGACAUGUGGCAUACAGACAAGUUUACUAGAUGGAUCUUUCAUCAUUUUGGAAAUACAAUAUUCCCUGUGAAACAAAUCACAGAAACAUUCUACAGUUUUAUUUUAUAUAAUAAAUACCAAUAAAUGUAAAUACAAAAUCACA